rnacentral:lncRNA from 1 species
CAGAGGAGAUGCUUAAUCCCUGUGGGCUCACCAGGGAGUAUGUCUCCCAGGGAUCAGAUCUGUGCCCAGGGGAAGUGAGUGGACAGACAGCUUCAGGUGAGGUCAAGUAACAGCCAAGAACUUACAGAAGCAAGAAAUAAAUCAACAUACUUCCAACCCCGUGAGGUGACACAGGAGAGUGAAAUGGAUCAGUUCUCAGAGCACUUAAACUUUGGUUCCAGCAGUGUCAUCUUGGACCAUCUCUCAUGACUACCCAAGCCUGCAGGAUUCCUGGAAGAUCAUUAAGAAUUUCCUCACGAUGCUGGAUAGCCUUCAGUGCAGUGGAGAACAGCAGGUCUGACCCAAACAUUGUGUUCUUGUUUGGUAUUCUCAGCAGGGAAGGAUGGAUUAUAUCCUGGUAAGUCAGUAGAGGACAAAAGGUGAUGAAGAAGGAAGCCCACAUCCUCUGAAAGGCAGGAGGAGAAGAAUCACAUUUGGAUGCUACUAGAUCAGGAAAAUAGUCUUGGAAGAAGUGUCAUUUCACCUGAAACCUGAAUAUGCCUAAGAAUGCUUUGGCACUACUCCCCUCCACAGGCAGUCUGAUUCCUCUGUUCUUGACUACUAUGAACUUAGGAACUUAAUUCUAAGUACACAGAAUUAAUGGUGUAUGAUUCCCAUGACUAAGACUCAAGGGGUAGUGCAGUCUCCCUAACCCCACCUUAUCACUUGCUCUGGAUGAAGCCAUCUGCCUUGAUACAGAGACAGUGAAGCAGCCAUAAGGAGGUAGUCAUGUAGUGAGGACCUGAGGCCUCCUGGCAACAACCUUAUCAUUGAGACCCUUUUGGAAUGGAUCUGCCAGCCUAGUUCAAGCAUUUGGUUUCCUGUUGCCCUGGAUGAUUCCUUGGCUGAAAACUAAUUGUGACGCCCUGACACAAAAUUGCAGAACUGCUCUCGUCAGGCCACAGGUGAAUUCUUGACAACGCAGAAACUGAACAAAUCAAUAUUAUUUGUUUCAAGCUUCUGAGCUCCAAGAUAAUUUGUUACAUAUACUAGAUAAUGAGUUCUAAUUGUGUUUAAUCACAUGCAAAGGAGGGAUGUGCUCUGUUCAGUACGAGUGGAGCAUAGCAGCCAACUGCAGGGGGAAGGGCCUGGCCUAGGCAAUAAUGGACCCAUCUGCUUUUCAAUCCAUUUGCCUAUUGUAUCAAUUAUGCAUACUUUUUGUUGUUAACAAUGAACUUGACUCAAAUUGACCUAAAC